rnacentral:rRNA from 1 species
AACGAACGCUGGCGGCAUGCCUAACACAUGCAAGUCGAACGAGACCUUCGGGUCUAGUGGCGCACGGGUGCGUAACGCGUGGGAACCUGCCCUUAGGUUCGGAAUAACUCCCCGAAGGGGGUGCUAAUACCGGAGAAUGUCUUCGGACCAAAGAUUUAUCGCCUUUGGAUGGGCCCGCGUUGGAUUAGCUAGUUGGUAGGGUAAAAGCCUACCAAGGCGACGAUCCAUAGCUGGUCUGAGAGGAUGAUCAGCCACACUGGGACUGAGACACGGCCCAGACUCCUACGGGAGGCAGCAGUGGGGAAUAUUGGACAAUGGGCGAAAGCCUGAUCCAGCAAUGCCGCGUGAGUGAUGAAGGCCUUAGGGUUGUAAAGCUCUUUUACCCGGGAUGAUAAUGACAGUACCGGGAGAAUAAGCUCCGGCUAACUCCGUG